UCAUUUAGGUCUAUCCAACCACAGUGGUGGAAGACGACAACAUCCGACGAGGAGUUUGAGUCAACCUCGGGAGAAAGGGCGCUCCAGGUUAAACUGGGAAGGUUUACAUUCCACUACGGGAAGAAGAUGCGCCCGGAGGCGGCUUAGUAGACCAGCUUAGUAGACCAUCCUCGAGGCUUAGUGCUCGGAGGACGGUAGAAGUUUCACGAGCCAUGAUGCUCGGACAGUAGAAGGUUCUCGAGGCAUAUGAUGCUCGGAUGAAGCCAACUUGGGUACCAAUAUUGCUCGAACCCUGGUGGGAGUCGUGCUCAGCUGAGACUCAACCACCUUGAACAGGUUCGAAUUGGUGUCCUAAUGUCUAUUUUAUUGGUACUUAUAGACUUAUAGACAUCGUUGGGUAAAUGAGCUAACAAAAGCCCACUAAAGAACCCAAUC
rnacentral:lncRNA from 1 species